AUGAAGGCUCUUCCACUGCUGUGGUCUGGAUCUUCAGACGACCUGGGCUUCAGCGCCGACCUGCAGCAGCUUUACGCCACAGUCGUCACUCACUGUAACACGCGAAAACGCAAACUGUCCGAGGAGGAUUGUUCUGCUGCUGAAGAGCCAGACCUGGCCUUGUUACAACCGGCCGUUGGAUCUGUUAAGAACGAACCUGCAGAAAGGGAAGUUGGGACCCAAGAGAAGAUUUCCAAAGAAAAGACAACAGACAGACCUUCAAUCCAGCAGGAGUCGAACGCAGCAGAGCGCCAGUCGUCCAAGCCAAAGAAAAAGAAGGUGGGAUUGUUCAGAUGAGCCUUAGAGGGAGUACAUCUUUUUACAGGAGGAGCUUCGACAUUCAAAAGCUGCUUUUAAAACAUGUUUUGACUUUUAUUCUGAAGGAUGUUUUUGAUCUUUUUACCACUGGCAUUUUAGCUCUGAUAUUGACGCUUUUUGGGUCACUGUAACUCUUAGACUGUUAACGCAAUUAACAUAAUUCCAAGCAACUUUAUGUUUAAAUGUUUCACUUUACAGAAGUGAAUUGUUUACACAAUUAACAUAAAAAGUGUUGCAAAUUAGCACAAACCUCCUUUUCGCAGCUUCAGACUAAAUAGUCGAAGAGUUACAGUAAUUCAAAGACAGUGUGUACUUCCUUUUUGGUGGUGAGAACUCCAGGGCUCCACACUACUGAAGAUGUUGUUGUGUUGUUUGUCUGUUUUUGGAUUUUAGAUUAACCUCUAAUCAAAUCAUUUUACUGCUUUUGAUAAUUCUCAGGUCAUCAGGUUUUAUUCAGCCUUUCCAUUAAACACUAAACAGACUUUCAUUUACAGAUAUAAUCAUAAAUGGAUGUAUGCGCUUUUAAUGUCUUAACCAAUCAACCUUUGUGACUUUUUAAAAUGAGCAUUGUAUAAAUUAAAGGAUUCUGUCAUUUUAUUUCCUCUGUGCUGCAUUUUUUUGUCAUCAUUUUCUGAAAAGUUGUAGGUUUAACCCAAAAUUGGUAUCUAACUAUCUUCUCUUCUUAUCUGAGCUCUUCCUCCUGACA
rnacentral:lncRNA from 1 species